rnacentral:lncRNA from 1 species
AGAGAUCCAUUAAUGCCAUUUCUUCAAAACCAUACAAUAUUUAUACACGCUUGUUUUUACAUAGAGUGAUACAUAUACCAAAAUUUUGCAUCCAUUGCCGCAGCUUGUAUGCUAAGAUCAGUUGUGGAGUGGAUUCGGUCCUCCUGGCACAACUUUCUUCGAAGCAGUGUAGGUGUGAGUAAUAUCAAUGUUCUUGUUGGUCAAAUCUUCAAAACUUGAACUACUGCUUAAGUGCUGCAAUUCUGAGGAAGGCAGAAAUGAUCGCGUCUGAUUAGCUGCUCUGAGAACCCGACAGCUGACAACUUGAGAGGUUACUAUGAUAAUGAAGAACAGAACCCGGAAAGCAGAUCUUUGUAGGCUCAUAAUUUUAGUAAUCCGUGAUGAAUAUAUAACCUCUUCCUGCAGAGUAAUAGAGAUGAGGAAAUAGAAGUUUUCAGAUUGUUUGUCUAUGAUUGCUAGAUGUUGGCUGGAACUUGGAAGAUUAUUUAAAGAAUAUAGACAACUAUAAUAAAGAACAUAAGGCCAAAACUUAACAAUAAUCCAUCAUCUGGCACCAAUAAUAUAUAACUACCCAAGCCAUAUUUAAUUAACGCCUCUUCACAAAGAUUUAAGGCAUCUAAUUAAGCAGUAGUAAACAGGCAAACUGGAGACAUGUGUCAAAUAGCAGAAAGAUUAUUUUCAGACCUUCUGUGCUGAUUGCCAGUAAUUCAAUUGUGGCUUAAUCAUAUCAUACCAUAUGGAUAACAUAAUCUUCUAUUAAGGAUCCAAUCCUAAUAUAAGUUAAAAUCCUAAUCUGAGUUGAUUUUAUAUUUGUGAUAAUUAAGGUGUCUUGUUUUGUGCUUAAGUGUGUAUCAGUAACACUUUAACAACAUAACGACAAGUACGUAAAUUAUAGAGUUGUGUAAGAAACACAC